ensembl:miRNA
GCAGCAAGGAAGGCAGGGUUCCUGAGGUGUGUCCUCCUGCCCUCCUUGCUGU